rfam:Schistosoma haematobium scaffold1427_4, whole genome shotgun sequence.
CUCUAGCUGAUGAGUCGCAAAUAGGACGAAAUGUGCGUUCUGGAU